UGUAAUAAAAAAAUAAAAAAGCAUUAAUAGCAUAAACAACCAUUUUCCAUAACUAUUUGUCGACAAAUCUUCUCGAAGUUAUACUACGUUGAAUAAAAGUUUAGAAGUAUCUUCCAUAACAUGUAAUUAUCAUCACCGAUUUUUUAAUAUUUUUAUUUGGGAUUGCCUCCAGUCCAAUCAUUGAGGGAGUAAAGGGUCAGAAUUUUAUCUCUGAGGAUGAGUCUUCAUUUGGAUACUUUUGAGUGUCAGAAAAUGAGCCCCAUCUGGUUUUACAUCUCACCAUACUAUUUCUCUUACAGAGGUUCAUCAGGCACGAGGAACAGUAAAACGUGGUGCAAAAUUGAGCACUCAUAGCAGCCUAAUGACAACAUAGUUUUUUUCAAAACCGCUGUGACUUCCCUGGACCCAUAAAUAUUCUAUCAUAAAAUGAGAGAUUCGUUCGUGAAUUAAACCAACUUUGAGUGGCCCAAAAGUUUUGACUCAAUCGUAAUCGUUUCAACUACUUCAGGUUCAACGACUUCCAUAUCCUCUCCACAGGUUUUACGGUUGAAAUAACCAUCAUAAAUGUGGGGUUCAGCCUGGGAGCGAAAAUGCUGUUUCAUGGUGUCAUCAGUAUUGGAGAUGAUGACAUACCUCCAUAUAACAAGACUCCUGGAGAUCCGGACAACUUCAAAUUAAGGAUCUUUUAUAAUUUUAAAAUGUUGGAACCAGGGUUACUCAUUGGACUUUUUGGAAUGACGAUCUUAGGGAGUAACAGAGACAUCCCUUUACGUGUUCGACGUAUACUUUCGGUUCCAAUAUCUUGAAAGGAGGCGGAAAAACCUCCUCCAUCUUUGAAAAUGGGUGGUUCACCAUAGCCUGCGGAAGAAUAGUCCACUGUCGAUAAAAAGUCAUUCUGUAAAUAUAAUAAACAAGAUUAAAAUUUUAUACAUUA
rnacentral:lncRNA from 1 species